rnacentral:lncRNA from 1 species
UACGGCAGCUUUAGGGAGGUGCUCUGAGACCCGAAACUAGACUCGACUUUAACAGACACAGACGACCCUGAAGGUGAGACUGUCUGCUGGUGGGAUGCUGGAUGGAAAUGUUUUCUUCCAAAUUGUGCUGCACGUUUUUGGCGAGAGCAUGGGGCUGUGCGGCGUCCCCUCCCUGGCGCCCACCUGUGCCCUGCACACUGGCCUGCACUGUGGUGAUCUCGCUUGGCCCCCACCUGAUUCCCGACAUACAGCAGAGGAAGCUUAGGCUCAGGUGGAACAGCCUCAACUGAUUCUGUCCCUGAACUUCCGUACACAGCCCUGGAGUCGUCUUAGAGCCAUGAUUUAUUUAACUGUUCUUUCAUUUUACAGAACAUAAAAUGUAUUGUUUCCAACUUUUUUCCUAUGGUAAAUAAUACUAAAGUAAAUAUCUCUGUGCAUGAAUCUUUUUGUAUAUGUUGGAAUAUCCUUAAGAUAAGGCCCCAGAACUAAAAGUACCCUGUCAAAAGGUGAGCAUUUCCGGUUCCCCUGCUGUGCUUUGCUGCGUUGUUCUCUCCUGCUGCAACGUUCUCACUCCACAAUCCUGGGGCAGGGAGGGGAGGCCCAGCUGAGUUUGGAUCAUAAUCCUGAAAGACACAAUCCCAAGCACCAUAAUGUGGAAUGUUGAAAUCCCUAAAGAUCAAAAUCCCUCAAGUCUAAAAUCCCUGAUAUUUCAGAUGACCACAGCUACAGGGCUAGGUGCACACAAUUAGUAACCGUAGCGAUAUACGUGUACACGUUUCUCUUUUGACUUAUUUCUUUAUGGUCUGUCUUCUUAUAACUGCUACACCCAUGCCGCCGUCGUUAGUUACCUCAGUGUUUAUGCAAAAAUACCUGUUAUCAUUGCCUAUUUUAUUGUGUAAAGUGGCCUAUGAAAUGUUCUGUUGUGUUUUUAUGUUUCUCAAAUACAUACCUUUUAAAAAUGUAAAUAAAUAACAUCGACAUUAUUUUUUCCAGAUUUAUACUUUUGGGAUUUUGAUCUUUGGGAUUUCAGGAUGAGGUAUUCGGAGCUGUGUCUUUGGGGAUGAUGACCGGCUCCUGUGCCGUCCCACCCAUCUUUGCGGCAUGGGACCUUGGCAUCCCCACCUCGGCCCUGGCUCUACCUGACCUCACAAUGGACCAGGCCAACUCAGUCAAUGUGGAGUCAGCAUCAGGUAGACCUGGGGCUGAAACUCAACACUGGUGUUCACCUUGACCUAGCUUCUCUGAGCCUCAAGUUCCUCAUCUGGACACCAGUGGGGUUAGGGGCUGAGGCACAUCAGCACUAAGCAGGAGAGCUCAUCGUUGCCAUGCAUCAGCUGUGGCUCUAGAGCCGAGACGCUCCCAGCCGUGUAGGCUUCCCAGCAGUGCAG